GACGAACGCUGGCGGCGUGCUUAACACAUGCAAGUCGAACGAGUGGCGAACGGGUGAGUAACGCGUAGGUAACUGCCUGGUAGCGGGGGAUAACUAUUGGAAACGAUAGCUAAUACCGCAUACUACCAGAUGGACCUGCGUUGUAUUAGCUAGUUGGUGGGGUAACGGCUCACCAAGGCAACGAUACAUAGCCGACCUGAGAGGGUGAUCGGCCACAAUGGGACUGAGACACGGCCCAGACUCCUACGGGAGGCAGCAGUAGGGAAUCUUCGGCAAUGGGGGGAACCCUGACCGAGCAACGCCGCGUGAGUGAAGAAGGGUUUCGGAUCGUAAAGCUCUGUUGUUAAGGAAGCGGUACUUAACCAGAAAGGGACGGCUAACUACGUGCCAGCAGCCGCGGUAAUUC
rnacentral:rRNA from 1 species